UGUAUCUAAUCGGGAUGCAGAUGCCUGAAAC
rnacentral:piRNA from 2 species